UGGGGAAUAUUGCACAAUGGGCGCAAGCCUGAUGCAGCCAUGCCGCGUGUGUGAAGAAGGCCUUCGGGUUGUAAAGCACUUUCAGCGGGGAGGAAGGCGAUAAGGUUAAUAACCUUGUCGAUUGACGUUACCCGCAGAAGAAGCACCGGCUAACUCCGUGCCAGCAGCCGCGGUAAUACGGAGGGUGCAAGCGUUAAUCGGAAUUACUGGGCGUAAAGCGCACGCAGGCGGUCUGUCAAGUCGGAUGUGAAAUCCCCGGGCUUAACCUGGGGACUGCAUUCGAAACUGGCAGGCUAGAGUCUUGUAGAGGGGGGUAGAAUUCCAAGUGUAGCGAUGAAAUGCGUAGAGAUCUGGAGGAAUACCGGUGGCGAAGGCGGCCCCCUGGACAAAGACUGACGCUCAGGUGCGAAAGCGUGGGGAGCAAACAGG
rnacentral:rRNA from 1 species